rnacentral:rRNA from 1 species
AUACGGAAGGUCCGGGCGUUAUCCGGAUUUAUUGGGUUUAAAGGGAGCGCAGGCGGAGAUGCAAGCGUGACGUCAAAUUUCGGGGCUCAACCCCGUCUCGCGUCGCGAACUGCGUCCCUUGGUUGCGGGAAGGGGAGGCGGAACUCGGGGUGUAGCGGGGCAAUGCAUAGAUAUCACGAAGAACUCCGAUCGCGAAGGCAGCCUUCCGGCCCGUCAACGACGCUCAUGCUCGAAGGUGCGGGUAUCAAACAGGAUUAGAUACCCUGGUAGUCCGCACAGUAAACGAUGGACACCCGCGGUUUGGCCUAUAUGGCUGAGCCGCCAAGCGAAAGCGUUAAGUGUCCCACCUGGGGAGUACGCCGGCAACGGUGAAACUCAAAGGAAUUGACGGGG